rnacentral:lncRNA from 1 species
GGAGAGGCCGCCGCUGCCUUCAGGUUUCCGAGGAUGUGAGGAAGUAGAACCACACACAAUAAAGAAAGAGGACCUCUACGGAAAGCUGAGGUGCUGGCGAGGAGGGAGAUGAUGAUCUCUGAGAAGAUGAGCAAGCCCCGCUCACCCUGCACCUGCUCCUGACCCGGCCUUGUAUUCCGUGAGCUCCGCACGCCCCCUGCUGGCCCUGAGCUGCACCUGCGCCCGCCCCCUCAGCCUCCCUGCAGGGAGGUUUUUGUCUGGGCUCACACUCACCUCCCCUCACUGUGUGUCUCGCACAGUAAUACACAGCCGUGUCUGCGGCGGUCACAGAGCUCAGCUUCAGGGAGAACUGGUUCUUGGACGUGUCUACGGAUAUGGUGACUC